rnacentral:rRNA from 1 species
UACGAAGGGGGCUAGCGUUGUUCGGAAUCACUGGGCGUAAAGCGCACGUAGGCGGCUUCUUAAGUCAGGGGUGAAAUCCUGGAGCUCAACUCCAGAACUGCCUUCGAUACUGGCGAUCUUGAGUCCGGAAGAGGUGAGUGGAACUCCUAGUGUAGAGGUGGAAUUCGUAGAUAUUAGGAAGAACACCAGUGGCGAAGGCGGCUCACUGGUCCGGUACUGACGCUGAGGUGCGAAAGCGUGGGGAGCAAACAGG